rnacentral:rRNA from 2 species
UACUCCUACGGGAGGCAGCAGCCGCGCAAAUUACCCAAUCCCGACACGGGGAGGUAGUGACAAUAAAUACUGAUACAGGGCUCUUUUGGGUCUUGUAAUUGGAAUGAGUACAAUUUAAAUCCCUUAACGAGGAACAAUUGGAGGGCAAGUCUGGUGC